rnacentral:rRNA from 1 species
AUGCAAUGCUAUCCUCUUCAUACCCACAACGUAGUUUUAUUUCUUGUUUCUAGUUGGAAGCAAACGUUCGGUGUACGUAGAGUCGUAUCAGUGGCAGAUAGGACUUCAGAGAAUAUUGAUCUUACCUUUAGCUCCUUGUGGGUUCAACACUCCAUACUUAUCACUUCCAUCUUCAGGAAUUGCUACGAUGAUUCCCUGCACUUGGGGAUUAUCAGUGAGUUCCACAUUAAACUCCAUACUCGCAACAAGGCCGACAACUUCACAUGGACCCUCGUCGCCGUGUAUGCGGCAGCCCGGGAUUAGUUCAAGGUGGAUUUUCUCCGUGAGUUGGUUAAUCUGGUGAAGGAUAAUCCCUACCCCAUUCUUAUAGGAGGAGAUUUCAAUUUGCUUCGAUUUCCAAAUGAGAAAAGCUGUGGUAGGUUUGAUAAUCAUUGGCCAUUCAUUUUCAACGUUGUCAUAGGCACUCUAGACCUGCGAGAGGUUUCCAUGAUUGGAAGACAAUUCAGUUGGGCGAAUAGUCUUUCGGAACCGACAUAUGAGAAACUAGAUCGCGUUUUAAUGGACACCAACUGGGAAUCUAAAUUUCCUAUGGUGUUUGUUCGUGCUCUACCUCGUAUCGAGUCCAUAUCAGACCACACACCAAUUCUCCUAACUACUAGUUUGCCAUGACCACAACAUAGACGCAAGUUCAAGUUCGAACUUGGUUGGUUGCAUCAGGAUAACUUCCAUGACAUGGUCAAGCAGGUAUGGGAAAAACCGGUGGCCAGGCAUACCCCAAUACACAAAUGGAAUAACAAAAUGCAUGCAUUACGUAAAUUCCUUGGUGGUUGGGCUAGGCAUACGAUGGGUAUCCUCAAAAAGGAGACUCUACGUCUCUUCAUCUAUCAUUGA